rnacentral:rRNA from 1 species
AGAGUUUGAUCCUGGCUCAGAACGAACGCUGGCGGCGUGCCUAACACAUGCAAGUCGAGCGAGAAAGCCCGCAAGGGUGAGUAAAGCGGCGCACGGGUGCGUAACACGUGGGUAAUCUGCCCUGAGGUCCGGAAUAACUCGCCGAAAGGCGUGCUAAUGCCGGAUGAGACCACGGGAGCCUCGGCUCCUGCGGGAAAAGGUGGCCUCUGUACACAAGCUAUCGCUUCAGGAUGAGCCCGCGGCCCAUCAGCUCGUUGGCGGGGUAAUGGCCCACCAAGGCUACGACGGGUAGCUGGUCUGAGAGGACGAUCAGCCACACUGGAACUGAGACACGGUCCAGACUCCUACGGGAGGCAGCAGUGGGGAAUCUUGCGCAAUGGGCGAAAGCCUGACGCAGCAACGCCGCGUGUGUGAUGAAGGUCUUCGGAUCGUAAAGCACUGUCGCGAGGGACGAAUAAGGGGCGGGCUAACAUCCCGUUCCGAUGACGGUACCUCGAGAGGAAGCACCGGCUAACUCUGUGCCAGCAGCCGCGGUAAUACAGAGGGUGCAAGCGUUGUUCGGAAUUAUUGGGCGUAAAGCGCGUGUAGGCGGCCUAGCAUGUCGGGUGUGAAAGCCCUCGGCUUAACCGAGGAAGUGCGCCCGAAAACUACUAGGCUUGAGUACCGGAGAGGGUGGCGGAAUUCCCGGUGUAGAGGUGAAAUUCGUAGAUAUCGGGAGGAACACCAGCGGCGAAGGCGGCCACCUGGACGGAUACUGACGCUGAGACGCGAAAGCGUGGGGAGCAAACAGGAUUAGAUAC